rnacentral:tRNA from 1 species
GGGGCUGUUGCUCAGUGGUAGAGCACUUGUCUACCAUGCAUGAGGCACUGGGUUUCAUCUUCAGCACCA